GUCCACGCCCUAAACGAUGUCAACUGGGUGUUCGGGAAGCGAUUUCUGGGUACCGUAGCUAACGCGAGAAGUUGACCGCCUGGGGAGUACGGCCGCAAGGUUAAAACUCAAAGGAAUUGACGGGGACCCGCACAAGCGGUGGAUGAUGUGGAUUAAUUCGAUGCAACGCGAACAACCUUACCUACCCUUGACAUGUCCGGAACCCUGCUGAGAGGUGGGGGUGCCCGAAAGGGAAUCGGAACACAGGUGCUGCAUGGCUGUCGU
rnacentral:rRNA from 1 species